AGACCCGAAACCCGGUGAUCUAGCCAUGGGCAGGUUGAAGGUUGGGUAACACUAACUGGAGGACCGAACCGACUAAUGUUGAAAAAUUAGCGGAUGACCUGUGGCUGGGGGUGAAAGGCCAAUCAAACCGGGAGAUAGCUGGUUCUCCCCGAAAGCUAUUUAGGUAGCGCCUCGUGAAUUCAUCUCCGGGGGUAGAGCACUGUUUCGGCUAGGGGGCCAUCCCGGCUUACCAACCCGAUGCAAACUGCGAAUACCGGAGAAUGUUAUCACGGGAGACACACGGCGGGUGCUAACGUCCGUCGUGAAGAGGGAAACAACCCAGACCGCCAGCUAAGGUCCCAAAGUCAUGGUUAAGUGGGAAACGAUGUGGGAAGGCCCAGACAGCCAGGAUGUUGGCUUAGAAGCAGCCAUCAUUUAAAGAAAGCGUAAUAGCUCACUGGUCGAGUCGGCCUGCGCGGAAGAUGUAACGGGGCUAAACCAUGCACCGAAGCUGCGGCAGCGACGCUUAUG
rnacentral:rRNA from 2 species